rnacentral:snRNA from 1 species
AUCACUUCUCGGCCUUUUGGCUAAGAUCAAGUGUGGAAAUACUCUUUUCUGAAAGCAUCUUAUUCUAAUUUCUUUAUAAGAAUUGUGGAACUGUUUUGUCAAAAUCUCCCUCCCACACUUUAUUAGUACUGGGUUCAGUUAUCCAAAUUUAAAAAGCUAA